UACGGGGGGGGCAAGCGUUGCUCGGAUUUAUUGGGCGUAAAGAGCGUGUAGGCGGUUUGGUAGGUCCGUUGUGAAAACUCGAGGCUCAACCUCGAGACGCCGAUGGAAACCAUCAGACUAGAGUCCGGAAGAGGAGAGUGGAAUUCCUGGUGUAGCGGUGAAAUGCGCAGAUAUCGGGAGGAACACCUGUGGCGAAGGCGGCCCCCUGGUUGGAUACUGACGCUGAGACGCGAAAGCGUGGGGAGCAAACAGG
rnacentral:rRNA from 1 species